GGGGUUGUGGCUCAGCGGUAGAACACUUGCCUAGCACAAGCAAGGCCCUGAAUUCAAUCCUCAGCGCCACA
rnacentral:tRNA from 1 species